rnacentral:lncRNA from 1 species
CAGGUGAAUAAUGUUAUUUCUAGGAUGGCAGAUAUUUCUAGAGUGAGAUUCAUCAUAAAACAUAUAGUUUGUGAGAUUAAAGCAAGUUAAUGCAAUAAAUCAAUACACAAAAACUUCCACUUACAAUCUUGUAGCUAAAAGAUCACAACCGAGCCAUGGAAAUUAGUUGUUUUUUUGCAUUUAUUUCAGUACCAGCAAUAGAGUUGGAACAAGUUGCCAGAGCAAAAAUAUCAAACUGGCACACGCUCUAAGUGGUCGUUUGGUUCGAGUAGAGGAAUGGAAAGGGAAUGGAAUCAAAUAAAG